rnacentral:rRNA from 1 species
CGAUAACGAACGAGACCUUAACCUACUAAAUAGCCCGUAUUGCUUUGGCAGUACGCUGGCUUCUUAGAGGGACUAUCCGCUCAAGCGGAUGGAAGUUUUAGGCAAUAACAGGUCUGUGAUGCCCUUAGAUGUUCUGGGCCGCACGCGCGUUACACUGACGGAGCCAGCGAGUUCCUCCUUGGCAGAGAUGCCUGGGUAAUCUUGUUAAACUCCGUCGUGCUGGUGAUAGAGCAUUGCAAUUAUUGCUCUUCAACGAGGAAUCCCUAGUAAGCGCAAGUCAUCAGCUUGCGUUGAUUACGUCCCUGCCCUUUGUACACACCGCCCGUCGCUACUACCGGAUUGAAUGGCU